rnacentral:misc_RNA from 1 species
AAGUCGUAACAAGGUCUCCGUUGGUGAACCAGCGGAGGGAUCAUUACAGAGUUAUCUAACUCCCAAACCCAUGUGAACUUACCUUUGUUGCCUCGGCAGAACCUACCCUGUAGCGAGCUACCCUGUAGCAACCUACCCUGUAGCGCCUGCCGGUGGACUACUAAACUCUUGUUAUUUUUAAGUAAUCUGAGCGUCUUAUUUUAAUAAGUCAAAACUUUCAACAACGGAUCUCUUGGUUCUG